UUAAGUAAAAUAAAUUAGAAUAUAUUGCUUUUCAUUCAUGAGCUUUUUCAGCUGUCUAAUUUUCUAUAUAAUAGCGAAUUGAUGCUAAACAUAGAAAAUGGAUAGCAAAUUAGUUUAUGUCAUAAUCUACUUAAUAAAUCCUGAUUUUAAUGUUCUACAUAGCUUACAUUUUGCAGACAAUCUUUUCCUGUUGUGAUUAGUUUUUAUUAUAAGUGGACUCAUAUUAUCUGUUUUUUGUUUACACUUUAAGCAAUAUAGUUUGUUCAUUUAUAGGGAAAAUAAUUGUUUGAAUUUAAUUAAAUUGAUAAAUUACGUCGUUAAAUUAUUACUUUUAAAAUAGUCGUUAAAAUAUUACUUUUAAAAUAAUCGUUAAAAUAUUACUCGGUACACCACUAUCAAAGAGAUAACCAUGGAAUAUAACAAAAUUGGAACUUGUUGCUGUUAUGAUAACAAUAUCCUGCGGAAAACGCCUACUUUCGAGUUUAUAACAAUGAUAACGAAAUUUCCGGUUCAUAAAACGUGCCUGUUACAUCAAAAAUGUUAUAAUAAUUUACAUUCGAUUUAAAAAUUUUUUCAAUAAUUGUAAAUAUUUCUUUUGACCAAUUUGUCUUUAACUUAUUUCUAUAAACAUCAAUUAUUGAAGAUAAUCUUACUCUAUCAUUUACUUCAAAUUUCGGUUUGGAAUUGCAAAUAUCAUAAUUAUAAACAGUGGAAAGUAGUUCUUUCUCGUUUUUCUUACUUACAUCAGCAGGUUUCAUUUUUAUUGUUCUAUGAUACUAAGCAAAUAUAACAAAUAGUAUUGGCAGGCACAUCUUCACUGAAAUCUGCAUUUAAGACAAUACUUGUUUUAGAUCCGGAGAUCUGUGGUGGUUGCCUGCUCAUAUCAAUCACAAAAAAUGGUCUGGUAUUUUUAAACUGUGCUGGAGUUAUAUACAUCAAAGAUAAAUCUCUAUGUACUCUAUUAUAAACAUUCUUAUAACUCAUUAACAUAUCAUAAGCCUUAUUAAAUUUUCCUUUACUAAAGUCUAGUUUUAAUAAUCGUGUUGGAUACCUCCCACCAUCAAUAUCCAACCAAAUAUUUGUUAAAUUACAAUGACUAAACUCUAUUGGAUCUGUCAAUUGGUUAUUUAGUCUACCUGUUUGAAAAGCUAUGAUAGCAAAUAAAGGAUUAUUAAUAUUUCUAUACAGAUUUGUUAUAUCUUUGGUUAGUGAAUUACCAGUAAUAUUUUUUACUUGAAUACAUUGCCAUGAUUUAAAUCUAAAUUUAUAUUCAUUUCUCUUGGAUAAUGAAACUAAAUCAUUUAUCAAUUUAAAUUUAUGCGCGUCUUUAUAAGUCACAAUUGGUAUACUAAUAAGAAACUCAUUAAUAACAAUUUUUCCUUUUCCAGGUACCACAUCUGUUUUAUCAUUUUUGUCUCUAAAUAAAGCAUCAUCGUCAGUAUGUCUUAAAAAAUCUAUUUCAAAACCUCCUUUAUAUACUGGGCAUUCUAUAUCUUUAAAAAAUCCUAAACACAAAUUAGAUAAUUUGCCAAUAGCACUAAAAUAACCACCGCCACUAAAUGUUGAUUGAAAUCCAUUAUUUAUUGUUGGUCCACUUAGGUCUGCAGAAUAACUAACCGUACCUUUAAUUAAACUACACCUACCAACAUUAUCAAUUUUAUCUAAUUCUUUACAAUGUUUUUUAACGCAAAUUGACUGAAACAAAAAUCGAGGAAAAUUAUCAACUAAUAUUACAUUUGAUCCUUUAGGAUAAUUAGUACCAUCUUCUUGUAAAACUUGACCAAAAAUUUCAAAUUUUGCUUUUUUAACAUUUAAGAAACUAUCUUCUUCUUUUAUAUUAAAAGUAGUAAUUUGACUAGGAAUAUUAAGAUUUGCUAUGUCUAAAGGGAAAAAUUCCUUUUCCUGUUCACUGAUAAUAGCAUGGUCAUAUUGUGCAAAUAUAUUUUCCAUUUAUAAGGAAAAAAAAUGUAAUAAAAUAUCAUGCAACCUUUCUAAGUGAAAUUUACUUGAUAAAUGUUUCUUAUGGUAUCUUAAAUGCAUUAUUUUACCACAUUCACAUACUACUUUUUCAAUAUUACAACUUCUACACCAUUUUUGGUUUUUACUAAACUCAGUUAUACUCUUGUAAAUUUUACAUUUUAAACAUAAAAAUACAUAACCUGCUUUCAAUGAUUGCAAUAAUGCCUCCUCAUAAAGAUAGCCAAUAAUAUUAUUUCGAUUCAUUUUUAUAUUUAUUUAUAUACAAAUUUAAUUUAUAAUUUUUUUAGUUUUUCAGGUUCAGUUCAUAAUUCAAAUCAUAAUUCUUAAUAAAAUCUAAACAUAAAUAACCACAUAUAGGUGGGUCAGUAUAAGUUUGUAAUUGUUCAGUGGUGUAAUAUAAAUCAUCUUUUCCUAAAUAAUUUACAAUUUCAUCAACCGGAGAGGAAUCCCCAAAUGAGUCAAAAUAUACCUUAUUAUUACCAUUUUUUAUCCAUGCAACCCAAUGUGAACCAGAUUGAUUAGAAUUAUUUAAAUUUAAUAUUCCACACUCAUUUUUCCAAGGCACUACUGGUAACUCAUCUUUCAUAAAACAACCUCUAAAAUUCUUAAUAUUUUUUCCUACUUUAAUAAUAUCAAAAUUAGUUAAUGGCUUUAUUUGUUUUUUUUGUUUUUUUGUUUUUUUUUAAGACCUGAACCAAUCUGUAAAGUCUUAAUAUUUCUAACAUUUUCUUCCAUCAUUUUAUUAUGUCUUUCUGCCUCAUCUCGUUUCAAUUUCUUAUCUUUUGCAUCAAUAACAGUAUUUGCAAUAGCACUAGCACCUCCGACCAAUGCACUAAGAGCACCUAUACCUGCUAUGAUAAGAGGUAAAAAACCACCUACUUUAUCUUUAUUUCCAAAUUGAGAUUUUGUAAUUUUUAAUCUCACCCCCUUUUUAUCUUUUUUAGCUUUAGUUAACUUAUUAUUUUGUCUAUCAGUUAAAUUAAAUUUGUUUUUUCCAUUACCAAUCUGUGUAUGCUUUAAUUGAAUAACUACAUCAUUUUUGUUUUUAUAAGCUUUUACAAGCUUUUCUAUUUGAGAAUCACUUAAAUCUAAAUUCAUUUAAUAGAAAUAAAAUUCAUUAAAAAAGUUAUUAAAUCAAGUUAAAUUCAUACCUAAAUACCUUUUUGCUUUCAUUGCAUUUGUAGUAACAUACGCAGCUGUUUUUUCACCUAUAGAUGCAUCUGGGGCU